UUGCCAUUUGCGCGUUUCUUUUUUCUAGCGUGUAGCAAAAUUUUACAGUGUACUUGUGAAAACUUUUCGCUGCUCAGAUCAAUAUGGCGGACGAAAGCGACUUCAAAGACGGAGUGGAAGUUAUGGGAGAAUUUGUGUUUAAAUGGCUGAGUCCAGAGGAAGUACAAGUAUUCAAUUUGUAAAGUGAGAUACUAGUGCAGGUAGAGGUGAUUUCAGCGUUCAAAAAUUAUCGAGCGAUCGGAAGUGGAAGUCUUGGUCCAGCCACCUUUCUUUUCUUAGAGGAUGGUGAAACGAUGGUUGUCUGCUUUUUCAUGAACAAUAAUCCGGAAAAUUUCAUUCCAGGGUCUCCAAGCGUUGACGACCGAAGCGUUCCUUCCAGCGGUCGAUCCGGAGACGACGGCACAAACCGUCGUCUAUCGAGAGCAGUGCACGGCCACUUACCUGCUUACGAACUUCUUAAGAGGCAUCGAUCAUUACAACUCAUCGGAACAGAUGUUUCUAACCCGGAAGAACCAAAUUGCGGUUACAAACAUUGCUAUGGUCAAGUUCUACUACCGGUUGCCGGACCAAGUUCGAAAAGUUUCUUCAGUGCUCUUAUCCAGAUUCUCAGAAGAAAAGGCGUCUAACUUCACUAGACGGCAAUUUCUCUGAAGAUAUUUAAAAUGUCACCGUGCUAUCGCUGCCGAAUCACUUUUUAUCGUGCAAACAUCCGUUCGGCAAGACUGCCAAAUCCAAACCCCUUACUUACGGAAAACUGUACUUUCUAUAUUGUAACUUGAAUGAGAGCAUUAACUGAAAAUAAAACAACUAAAUCCAACUUUUUUAUUGUUUGUAUUGAUUGAUUGGCUAGAUAAGAAAAAUAGUUAAAAGGAUUUAUUGAAUCUAAAAUCGUGAUGUUUCAUUUAACCCCACAUGUUUGUAGAUUCAACAAACAUGUUUGUUACACUGACCAUAAUGAUUAUUGGAAUUACAAACAAGCUACAUUUGAAUGGCAACUAUCUUGUUUAUCAAACCCACAAACUUGUUGGGUUGAAUUUGAUAAACAUGUUUGCUGGCCCUGAGAUGACAAUCAUGUUUGUGGGGAAACCCCA